rnacentral:rRNA from 1 species
CGCUGGCGGCACGCCUAACACAUGCAAGUCGAACGAAGUAGCAAUACUUAGUGGCAGACGGGUGAGUAACAUGUAGGUAUCUACCCUAUGGCCUGGAAUAACACGAGGAAACUUGUGCUAAUACUGGAUAAGUCUUUACGGAGAAAGCUUUAUGCACCAUUGGAUGAGCCUGCACUUGAUUAGUUUGUUGGUAGGGUAAUGGCCUACCAAGACUUUGAUCAAUAGCUGAUUUGAGAGGAUGAUCAGCCACAUUGGGACUGAGACACGGCCCAAACUCCUACGGGAGGCAGCAGUGGGGAAUCUUGCACAAUGGAGGAAACUCUGAUGCAGCGAUGCCGCGUGAGUGAAGAAGGCCCUUGGGUUGUAAAGCUCUUUCGUCGGGGAAGAAAAUGACUGUACCCGAAUAAGAAGGUCCGGCUAACUUCGUGCCAGCAGCCGCGGUAAUACGAAGGGACCUAGCGUAGUUCGGAAUUACUGGGCUUAAAGAGUUCGUAGGUUGUUGAAAUAGUUGGUGGUGAAAUCCCAGAGCUUAACUCUGGAACUGCCAUCAAAACUUUUCAGCUAGAGUAUGAUAGAGGAAAGCAGAAUUUCUAGUGUAGAGGUGAAAUUCGUAGAUAUUAGAAAGAAUACCAAUUGCGAAGGCAGCUUUCUGGAUCAUUACUGACACUGAGGAACGAAAGCAUGGGUAGCGAAGAGGAUUAGAUACCCUCGUAGUCCAUGCCGUAAACGAUGUGUGUUAGACGUUGGAGAUUUAUCUUCAGUGUCGCAGCGAAAGCGAUAAACACACCGCCUGGGGAGUACGACC